rnacentral:rRNA from 1 species
CCUACGGGGGGCAGCAGUGAGGAAUAUUGGUCAAUGGACGAGAGUCUGAACCAGCCAAGUAGCGUGAAGGAUGACUGCCCUAUGGGUUGUAAACUUCUUUUAUUUGGGAAUAAAAUGUUCCACGUGUGGGAUUUUGUAUGUACCAUAUGAAUAAGGAUCGGCUAACUCCGUGCCAGCAGCCGCGGUAAUACGGAGGAUCCGAGCGUUAUCCGGAUUUAUUGGGUUUAAAGGGAGCGUAGGUGGAUUGUUAAGUCAGUUGUGAAAGUUUGCGGCUCAACCGUAAAAUUGCAGUUGAAACUGGCAGUCUUGAGUACAGUAGAGGUGGGCGGAAUUCGUGGUGUAGCGGUGAAAUGCUUAGAUAUCACGAAGAACUCCGAUUGCGAAGGCAGUUCACUGGACUGCAACUGACACUGAGGCUCGAAAGUGUGGGUAUCAAACAGGAUUAGAUACCCCUGUAGUC